CCUACGGGUGGCAGCAGUGAGGAAUAUUGGUCAAUGGGCGCUAGCCUGAACCAGCCAAGUAGCGUGAAGGAUGACUGCCCUAUGGGUUGUAAACUUCUUUUAUAUGGGAAUAAAGUGAAGUAUGUAUACUGCUUUGCAUGUACUUUAUGAAUAAGGAUCGGCUAACUCCGUGCCAGCAGCCGCGGUAAUACGGAGGAUCCGAGCGUUAUCCGGAUUUAUUGGGUUUAAAGGGAGCGUAGAUGGGUUGUUAAGUCAGUUGUGAAAGUUUGCGGCUCAACCGUAAAAUUGCAGUUGAUACUGGCAUUCUUGAGUACAGUAGAGGUGGGCGGAAUUCGUGGUGUAGCGGUGAAAUGCUUAGAUAUCACGAAGAACUCCGAUUGCGAAGGCAGCUUGCUGGACUGUAACUGACGCUGAGGCUCGAAAGUGUGGGUAUCAAACAGGAUUAGAUACCCCAGUAGUC
rnacentral:rRNA from 1 species